AACUAUAGGAAAUAGAGGAAAAUCUACAGGCCUAUGGUGCAAAAAAUGACAACUUUAGGAAGACCAUUAGAGUGCCCUGCGGAGGGAGACUCUCUGUUCAAGUUCCCGAAGCUCUCGAUCAUGUUGUGCCUCAGCUUGCAUCUUGAUUUUGCUCUGAUAUGCAUUCAACAGCUCCAGUUCCUGCUGCAGCUGCAUCUUCAAAACCUGGCACUCUGCUUCCUGUGCUUCAUCCAAACGCAGCUGAGAGAGAAAGA